UACCUUACCACUCGGAUAACCGUGGUAAUUCUAGAGCUAAUACGUGCCUUCAGGGCCACCUUUUUGGUGGCCUGCAUUUAUUAGAUACAAACCAAUGCCAGCAAUGGCUCCUGGUGAUUCAUAAUAACUUGGCGGAUCGCAUGACCUUGCGUCGGCGACGUAUCAAUCAAAUUUCUGCCCUAUCAAGUUUCGAAGGUAGGAUAGAGGCCUACCUUGCUAGCAACGGGUAACGGGGAAU
rnacentral:rRNA from 1 species